rnacentral:lncRNA from 1 species
AAAUAAACAGUAAGGCUGGAGUGGAAAUCAAUCAGGCUGCCUUGAUCUGCAGGGCUUUGUGACAAUGGCUAAUAAAUCAUGGAAUUUUGGGAGACAGCUGACUGGUAUGUUACUUGACUAGUAUGACCAAAAAAAGAAAAAACAAGGAAAACUGGUGAGCGUAAAGCUAAGGUAGCCUGUCACAAUGGGAAAAUCACGGUCUCUUCAUCAGCUUCUAGAUCUAAGUCAAUUUACAGAUCCAGUGCACAAUGAAGAGGAGGACUGGUCUUGAGGAAAGGCCUUGCUUUCACAAGUAUAUAUGAUGUACAUGCCCAGAAUUUUUCAGAACUGGAUACUAUUAUGGCUUUGUAUGUAGAUGAGGGGUUAUGGAAACCAUAUGAUAAAGGGAGUCCUGGCCAGUCUAUCACAUAAUGGUUCCCAUUUUGCAAUUAUUUUCCCAAUCUCUAAGUAUAUAUUUGGGAUCAAUAUACUUAGAUCCCCGUGGAGGUCUUAGACCUGUGAAGUAACAACCAUUAUGGGAGGAAGAGGAAACCUCUCCCUGGCCAUGUUAAUAAAUUAUGAGCACUCCACAUGAGGAAUGGCAGACAUCAGUGUCACCAUCAAAAAAUUUUAGGGAUGCAAGCGUAAUGGGCUCCAUCAUAAUCUCAUUUAAGUUACCAUCAGACUCCUGAAAAAGAGCAGAUAGAUAAUGGAGAAUGAUGGCGGACUACUGCUAGUCUCAGUUGUAGCUGCUGUAUUGGAUGUGGUAUCUUUACUGGCAUCCUCUGGCAUUUGAUAUGCAGCUAUUGAUUUGGCAAAUUCACUCUUCUAAAUUUCCAUCAGAAAGGAGGAUCAAAAGCAGUUCACAUUUCUCUGGGAUGGACGGCGAUUCUCAUUUACUCUGUUGCCCCCAAAAAUCUUAAAUCUCCUUUUCUAUAUCACAAUAUAAUCCAAAAGGACCUUGAUCAUCUUUACAUUCUACAGGACAUCAUGCCAGCCCACUAUAUUGUGACAGCAUGCUAGGGGAAUUGGCUAUCAGGAAGCGGCAAGUAUUACAAAUGCCCUAGUAAGGCUUACAUGUGCCGGAGUGUGGAUUAUAGACUCUAUGAAGAAUCUGGGGCAUGCCACAUUGAUGAAGAGUUUAGAAGACCAAUGAGUUGAGGCAUGCCUAGAUAUUUCUUCUAUAGUAAAGAACAAUUUCUUGUAUCUUCCAACCUCUUAACACUAAGAUAGAGGCAUAGGAUUUAGUAGGUCCCUCUGGACUUUGGAAGCACAUAUAUUGUAUUUGGUGUAUUCCUCUCACCCAUUUAAUGCCAGUUUCAAGUGGAUCCCAUUUAAAAAAAAAAAAAAAAA